rnacentral:tRNA from 1 species
GAGGGUAUAGCUCAGUGGUAGAGCACGUGCUUAGCAUGCACGAGGUCCUGGGUUCAAUCCCUAAUACCUCCA